rnacentral:rRNA from 1 species
CCUACGGGCUGCAGCAGUGGGGAAUUUUCCGCAAUGGGCGAAAGCCUGACGGAGCAACGCCGCGUGAGUGAUGAAGGUCUUCGGAUCGUAAAACUCUGUUAUCAGGGAAGAACAAAUGUGUAAGUAACUGUGCACAUCUUGACGGUACCUGAUCAGAAAGCCACGGCUAACUACGUGCCAGCAGCCGCGGUAAUACGUAGGUGGCAAGCGUUAUCCGGAAUUAUUGGGCGUAAAGCGCGCGUAGGCGGUUUUUUAAGUCUGAUGUGAAAGCCCACGGCUCAACCGUGGAGGGUCAUUGGAAACUGGAAAACUUGAGUGCAGAAGAGGAAAGUGGAAUUCCAUGUGUAGCGGUGAAAUGCGCAGAGAUAUGGAGGAACACCAGUGGCGAAGGCGGCUUACUGGUCUGCAACUGACGCUGAGGCGCGAAAGCGUGGGGAGCAAACAGGAUUAGAUACCCCUGUAGUC